CUAAUUGCCGAGCUGAGAUUGGGAAAGAAUUUUUCCUAACUCUGGUCUAGCAAGUGGCUGUAGGGAGGCCUUUCUCAAAAAUCAGCUGUAUUUGCCUUUGACAUUGUCCAGGAGCAGAGCACCAGGCUUUAUGUUGCUUGGCACAAGGCAGCUCCUCUGGUUAUGUGACUCCUGCUGAGAGGAUUUUCACAAUUUAUUAAUGAGCUUUCCACAACCCUGCUUUAUUCUCCAAACAGUUUUACGCUGUCUCUAGGAACAACAAAUAUAUCUGGGCACUGUGGUUGAAUGAAUACCAGACAAUUGUGUGAAUGUUGUAUUGGACUUCCUCUUCCCUCCCUUCCCAAUCUAAAUAGCAUUCCUAUUUCAGGAGCCGAUGGUGUGAUUCGAAACAACUGCUUGGUUGAAGGAUGGGGGGCAGGAUCGAGAAGGAGAGAGGGAAGGGGCAGUGCUGAUUCUGGAGAGGUGUAUGUAGUGUUUUGUCUUGGUUUAUUUUAAAGAUCAGAGAGUAAUUGGAAACAAUUAUUUUUUAAUUAAUAACUUGGGAAAGGUGAACAGAAGCAUUUCACAGGGUUUUACCGUGUGCACACUGAAAAUAAAACACUUUAUGCUAUGCUUCAAUAAUUUAUCACUUCUUGACAGGGGCUUGGAAAAGGUCCAGUAUGUAAGUACAAAUCACCAAUUUGCUCUUUUAUAAAUGAGUUCUUUUAAGGAGAAAAUGGAUGGCUCUCCAAGUGGAGCAUACAUGUUCUCAUUUGUUUUGUAGAAUAUGUGGGGCUGCAGGUUAUUGUGUCCCUUCAUUCACUUAUAUCAGCCACCUCUAAAAGCAAUUCCAUUGUAGUCUCCCACUAAUCUGUAGCGUCCUGUUUUUUCUAACUUCUUCCCUGACCUCGCCUUUGAUAUAUAAGUCUUUAUUUUCCCCUUGCCAUCUCUCUAGUUUAAUAGCUCUACAGUGGAGUACUGUUUUCAACCAUGGAACUACUUUUAAUCAAGAUCAACUUUGGGAAGUGCUGCCAUUUUUAUGGUAAUAAAGGACUGUAUUAUGCACUUGAACCCGCUCAAGUUGUCCCCUGUGUAUACCUUCACAUAGUAGAACCAUGAAACAAAGUGUAAAUGCUUAAAUUGCUUUGUUCUUAACUGUAGUCUCCUAGAGGUCAGUGAAUGAUUUCUAGUUGCAUUGUAGCGAAGACAUUUGUUCCAGGUUGAAGAAUUUUUUACUUGAGAACAUACAUUUUCCCUGUCUGUGUGCCCCCAAACCCUGUCUGCCACACUCUUUCUCUUGGGCUGUGACAAAACAGAAUGUUUAGCGAGAAACAAAAUUGUGCUCGAUUUUCAGACUAUCUGACUUCAUUUUCUGUUUUGGUCUUUGAGCUAUUCCUUGGCUAAUCUUCCAACAAGUCGAAUUGAUUCUUAUUUCAAAACUGUUUAUCCCAAAACAGAGCUGUUGACAAGUACAAAUACAGAUGGCAGACAUGUGGUAUGAUUUUCAUGUUCUCAUCUCAGCAUUCAGGAAGGGAAUGUUAUUGAAAGAUGGUUUACAUCUGAAGCUUUCUGCUCAAGGCAAUAUGGAAUGCAUGCUAGGAGCGCUUAAUUAUGCUUAAUUAAUAAUAGUAACAAAUGCUUACGGGAUUUCCUUAAGGUCUAAAAGUGCAGCAGCAUUGGACUUGCUGUGUAAGGCUUACCGCCCCGGAGGCUAUAAUAAUCUGUAACAAUAGAAGCAACCUCUAGGGGGUAAAAUUGUCUUUGAUAAUCACUGACUCUUGGGUGACCUCAGUACAGCAUUCCAGGCCAAAGAUCCAGAAUGUUCCCUUACUGGGGGCAGACACGCCUAUGAUUGCACUGACCUUUGUCCUCCGAGCAGAUGAUCCUCCAGAGUACUGGCUAGCUCUUAGAUUCAGAGGUAAAUCCCAGCCCAUGCUGUGGCCUUGCUGUUCCCCACAGCCCAACUGCAUUAACUAUAAUUUUUUUUUCUCCACAAAAAGAAAUUGUUGGUGAAAGGAAGACAACCUUCAGUUUUUCUCCCCACCGACCUGGUUUCAGGAGGCCGUGUGCUCAGUGGAGUGUCUCUGCCUGUCUUCGCUAAGCUUGCCCCUGACCAUUGUGGAGGUAGAUGCCACCUAAGAGUGGCAGGGUUAGUCCUGACCUCUGGGGUCUGAAUAUCCAGCAACUAUCUUAAUUCCAGUCGCUGCUGUCUGUUGUACCACCAGUACACAGCAGUACAGCUGUGUCUCUGUUGUUGACCGACUAACUUAGAUUCACUGUUGAAGUCCAAUUAGCCAGAGUGGGGGUGAAAAUGCAAGAGUGGACGGUGAGAGUGGUAUGUGUCAUGUACGACAGGACAGUGGAGAGAGCCCUCUCUGAUACCUGUUAGUCCCUCCUUUAAAAGAUGCGGGAGGUGGCCAGGGAGUGGGGAUUUCAGAAUGUGGUGGCAGAAAUCAGUUUGGCAUUUAUUGGAUGACAGCUGUAGGCAGGCACUGUGCUAUACCUUAGGGGGGUAGAUAAAAAAGGAAAUAUGACAUUGCACCUUCCAUACUGAGUUUGUAGGUUUGGGUAUUUAUGGGGGAAAGUGGUACCCUCCAUCCUUUUUUUAAAAAAUUGGGCCAAAAUUGUAAGAAUUCUUUUAAAAACCUGAACAUUUUAGAUGGAUUUGAGCAUCUCAACUGUAUGUUCGUAUCUUGAAAUUCCAAAUAAACUCAGGAGUGGAU
rnacentral:lncRNA from 1 species